AGCAGCCGCGGUAAUUCCAGCUCCAAUAGCGUAUAUUAAAGUUGUUGCAGUUAAAAAGCUCGUAGUUGAAUUUCGGGGUUCUACCGUUGGUCGGGCUUUGUCUGUACUGGCGUGUAGAAUUUCUACCUUCUGGGGAACCAUCAUGUUAUUAAUUUAACGUGGUGGGAAACCAGGACCUUUACCUUGAAAAAAUUAGAGUGUUCAAAGCAGGCUUAUGUCUGAAUACAUUAGCAUGGAAUAAUAGAAUAGGACGGUGGUCCUGUUUUGUUGGUUUCUGAAUCACCGUAAUGAUUAAUAGGGAUAGUUGGGGGCAUUAGUAUUCAAUUGUCAGAGGUGAAAUUCUUGGAUUUAUUGAAGACUAACUUCUGCGAAAGCAUUUGCCAAGGAUGUUUUCAUUAAUCAAGAACGAAAGUUAGGGGAUCGAGGACGAUCAGAUACCGUCGUAGUCUU
rnacentral:rRNA from 1 species